rnacentral:rRNA from 1 species
GGACUACACGGGUAUCUAAUCCCGUUUGCUCCCCUAGCUUUCGCGCCUCAGCGUCAGUGUCGGUCCAGGAAGCCGCCUUCGCCACCGGUGUUCCUCCGGAUAUCUACGCAUUUCACCGCUACACCCGGAAUUCCGCUUCCCUCUCCCGAACUCAAGCCUCGCAGUUUCCCGUGCCGUUCCCCAGUUGAGCCGGGGGAUUUCACACGGGACUUACGAGACCGCCUACGCGCCCUUUACGCCCAGUAAUUCCGAACAACGCUUGCCACCUCUGUAUUACCGCGGCUGCUGGCAC